rnacentral:rRNA from 1 species
CUCCCACCCAAUGUGUACCUACCUCUGUUGCUUUGGCGGGCCGCGGUCCUCCGCACCGGCGCCCUUCGGGGGGCUGGCCAGCGCCCGCCAGAGGACCAUAAAACUCCAGUCAGUGAACUUUGCAGUCUGAGAAACAAGUUAAUAAACUAAAACUUUCAACAACGGAUCUCUUGGUUCUGGCAUCGAUGAAGAACGCAGCGAAAUGCGAUAAGUAAUGUGAAUUGCAGAAUUCAGUGAAUCAUCGAAUCUUUGAACGCACAUUGCGCCCCUUGGUAUUCCGAGGGGCAUGCCUGUUCGAGCGUCAUUUCAACCCUCAAGCUCUGCUUGGUAUUGGGCUCCGUCCUCCACGGACGCGCCUUAAAGACCUCGGCGGUGGCGUCUUGCCUCAAGCGUAGUAGAAAACACCUCGCUUUGGAGCGCACGGCGUCGCCCGCCGGACGAACCUUUGAAUUAUUUCUCAAGGUUGACCUCGGAUCAGGUAGGGAUACCCGCUGAACUUAAGCAUAUCAAUAAGCGGAGG